CUUCAUAAUCAAAAAAAGAGCUAUGAAUAAACAGUAUCGUAAAAAUAAUUAAAAGGAAGAACAAAUAAUUUUUCCAAUUAAAACUAGUUAGAGGUGAUGGAGAAAGGAGAGGCUAAAACGUUAAAAGAGAAAUUGGGCUCAAAACAGACGUGCUUGAAGCAACAUAAAUACAAAAAGGAGAUUGACAGUGACAACAAAUCUCCCGUUCUAUGAAAAAGGGGAUUAAAAAAUGAAGAAGAUGUUGAUUAAAAAUGCACGUUCAAUUUCAAAAGUCGAAGCCUGAUAUAGAAAAGCUGGAUGACUAUUCGCCAUCAAUUUCAUCUAGCAAGUGUUUGAAUUUGUGAAUAUCACGAAUAACAUGCGAUCCUGCUUGAGGUUGGGGAAGUGGAUCACCAUGUUCUACUAAUUGAACAGUGUAUUUCCAACCAAACUCCCGAGCACCCAAAAUGUUACCAUAUGAGUCAUCGACAAAUAUACAUUUAUCCUUGUCAGUAACGCCUGCUUCUCUCAUUACACGCUCAUACAUUUCAGGCAUGGGUUUAGCGAUCAAAUCCUUGGCAUUGUAGUCGCAGUACGUUAUACCGUCAAAGCAAUCCUCAAUACCAAGAUAUUUAAGGACACGAUUAGCAUGAACGAUAUAUGCAUUCGUAAAAAUCCAGCACUUGUACUUUUUACGAAGUUCUAAAAGCAUCUCACGCAAAACUUCGUCUUUCUUUAUAACCUUCUCUAAGGGAAGAGACUGAUCGACACGCUGAUCAUAAUCCACAGCAUCAAUUUCAUGAUGGAGAACAAGACCACGAAUUGCUAUACCGUAAUGCCGAUAGUAAACUUCACGAAGGCGUUCUGCCUCCUCUGUAGGUAUGCCAAGCUUAUCAGAGAAAAAUGCAGUAAUACGAGCAGCCAUCAUGUUAUGGAUUUUGUAAGAUUUAGGAUACAAACAGUUAUCCAAAUCGAAAAAAAUAAUCUUCUGCUCAACAGUCAUAAUGGUUGUUAAAAAAAAGAACGGUCAGAUGGAGUAAAAAAUUUGAAUAGAGAAAAAAAGAGAAACGUCAACAAAGAGAGGUGUAUAUCUAAUAGCGUAGGAGAACAAACGAUCAAUGGACGCACACAAAAACAAAUAGCAGAAGGAGUAUUAA